AAAGAAAAAAGAAAUUUUCCUUCCUUCUUCCUCCCGUGCGUCCUCCAUCCCUUUCUCCUUCCCGUACCCUAGCAGCCGCACAUCCCUCUCUUCUCCGUUCACCCAGUCGGCCACACAAGCUGCCGGUCGUUUCUUCUUCUUCUUUCCGGUCGUCUUCCUUUUCUCCUUCGGAUCGAAACCGCCGCGCCCAUCCGCUCACAACCACCGUGCCUCUCCGCUCACAACCGUCGUGCCUCCCUCGGAAAGCAAAUCGUCAUCCAGAUCUGCAUCGCCGAGCCGUCCAGGUCCUCGCCGUCGCUUGUGCUUCACCCUUGCAGUUCGCCAUAACCCAGAUCGUCGCUGCAACCGUCGGCCGGUUCGUGAAGUGCCGUACGCGUCACCUUGCAGCAGUCGUCCAGAUCUGCAUCGCCGUGCCCAUUCCUUUCCUCUCCGUUCGUGAAGCCCUGCUGCGCAAUCUCUGUCUCCGUCGAAGCCAAGCCAGCCGCCGCCCGUUCCUUUCUCCUCCGUUUUCUGCACUGCCGCGUGACUCUCCGACCGCGUCUGUCUUCACCUCCGUGAAGCCGUCGACGCAUACAUCUCGUGAAGUCAUACACGGAUCCAAGUCGAUCUCUUCCUAAAUUACGUGUCCCCUAUCAAGUCGACGUUCUUCUGCUCGUUGUAAGACGGAGUUACGAUUUGAAGCCGAUUUUCUUUUCCAGUUGAGUCGCAUUCAGUGUUGCUCUAUUUACAGCCGCUUGAUUCGUUCUUGAUUGUCAUUUUUGCCUCGCCGUGAACCAUUGGGCUCAUAUUUGGGUACAUCUUGAUUCAGUGAGCGAAUCCUUGAUUUUCCAAAAGGUUGAAGUGGACUUGAUUUUCCACUUCUUGGGAUUUGAUUCAUUGGAUUUAGUAGAUUGAAGAACUUGCAUAAAAGUGAGGUAAGGGAUUUUAUUUUCUACUGGACUCACCUAUGCUUUUGAAUUGUAAUGUUAGUCACCUCUGAUUGAGUAAAUGUGUUGAGACAAUAUAUAUAUACGUAUGGAUGUAGACAGGACGACAAUUGUAGAUUGUGUUUGUAUGAGAUGCGGAUGUGAACUUGUGAUUGUCGUUUAGACUGGGUGUACGUUAUACUAAAGUAUGACUGUGUGCUGGUGAACUGAGAGGCGUUAUGACUAUAUAGUUUGAUUGACUGACGUAUUAGUAUGUUACUGACAGACAUUGGGCUAAAGUGAGAUAAGUUGACUGUUAGAACGUUGAGUGAAAGAACUUUAUAUUUUGAAGUAACUGAAAGAUGGUACGAAUGGAUUGAGGGGAAA